GACGAACGCUGGCGGCGUGCCUAAUACAUGCAAGUUGAGCGCUGAAGGUUGGUACUUGUACCGACUGGAUGAGCAGCGAACGGGUGAGUAACGCGUGGGGAAUCUGCCUUUGAGCGGGGGACAACAUUUGGAAACGAAUGCUAAUACCGCAUAAAAACUUUAAACACAAGUUUUAAGUUUGAAAGAUGCAAUUGCAUCACUCAAAGAUGAUCCCGCGUUGUAUUAGCUAGUUGGUGAGGUAAAGGCUCACCAAGGCGAUGAUACAUAGCCGACCUGAGAGGGUGAUCGGCCACAUUGGGACUGAGACACGGCCAAAACUCCUACGGGGGGCAGCAGUAGGGAAUCUUCGGCAAUGGACGAAAGUCUGACCGAGCAACGCCGCGGGAGUGAAGAAGGUUUUCGGAUCGUAAAACUCUGUUGGUAGAGAAGAACGUUGGUGAGAGUGGAAAGCUCAUCAAGUGACGGUAACUACCCAGAAAGGGACGGCUAACUACGUG
rnacentral:rRNA from 1 species